GUGCUCACUUUGGCAGCACAUAUAGUGAAAUCAGAAUGAUACAGAGAUUAGCAUGGCCCCUGUGUUAGGAUGACACACAAAUUUGUGAAGAGUUCCAUAUUUUU